CCCUGCUCCUUGCACACACCGCCCGUCGCUUCACCCGAGUUUGGCUUGGACGAGGUCGUCUCAUGUUGGGGUGAUCGAAUCCGAGUUAGGCAAGGGGGAG
rnacentral:rRNA from 1 species